AUUGAACGCUGGCGGCAGGCCUAACACAUGCAAGUCGAGCGGAUGAAGGGAGCUUGCUCCUGGAUUCAGCGGCGGACGGGUGAGUAAUGCCUAGGAAUCUGCCUGGUAGUGGGGGAUAACGUCCGGAAACGGGCGCUAAUACUGCAUACGUCCUGAGGGAGCAAGUGGGGGAUCUUCGGACCUCACGCUCUCAGAUGAGCCUAGGUCGGACUAGCUAGUUGGUGGGGUAAAGGCCUACCAAGGCGACGAUCCGUAACUGGUCUGAGAGGAUGAUCAGUCACACUGGAACUGAGACACGGUCCAGACUCCUACGGGAGGCAGCAGUGGGGAAUAUUGGACAAUGGGCGAAAGCCUGAUCCAGCCAUGCCGCGUGUGUGAAGAAGGUCUUCGGAUUGUAAAGCACUUUAAGUUGGGAGGAAGGGCAGUAAGUUAAUACCUUGCUGUUUUGACGUUACCAACAGAAUAAGCACCGGCUAACUUCGUG
rnacentral:rRNA from 1 species